rnacentral:lncRNA from 1 species
UGAAAUCUAUGAGGGCUGAUCUUUUGGAAGCGCAAAUAUUGGACAGAAAUAAGAUGGACGUAGGUGUCAAGAAGCGAAUUGGCCACAGUUCAAGUUUUUCUAAGCUCUCUCAAAAUGCACCACAAUCUGUAUAUAGAUUUCUCAUGCAUAGUCAUGCGGUACGCAAUGAUAUUGGGUAUGAGUACGAGAAAGGUCCUGGGGGAUCAAUUGCUCGCCAACUAUAGAAAAACCCCUCUCCCACUCCCUUUCUCAACUGCUUUUAGGUCCUUUGGACCCACUUUGCGAGCGACUAACAAAAGAAUAUUUCUGGUUCCAGACUGAUGAAAGCCAUGGAGGAUCCUGUUGAGUAUGAAUUGUCUUCUGAUGGCAGUGGACAUCAACCUCAACGCCAUUGCUCCAUCAAUGUGCUCGAUUUAUGUUUAAAGUACCUCUGAACUUUGUGAUGACAUAUGGUUAAUUUAUGCCUUAUUUUAUAAUCUAUGAUAACUACGUCUGGUUUCUGGAGUCUUGGGUUUGUAUUAUCCCUUAUUUCUACCUCGUGAAACAUUUCUCUAUCCAUCUCUUCCCCCCCCCCCCCCCCCCCCCCAACUGACUCGUUUUAAAGAAUUGAUGUGGAUAUGAAUUUGAUUGUCUACUACCUUAAAGUAUAAUCUACUGUAGGAG